GUACACACCGCCCGUCACACCACGGAAGUUGGGGGCGCCCGAAGCCACUUAGCUAACCCUUUGGGAAGCGAGUGUUGAAGGUGAAAUCAAUAACUGGGGUGAAGUCGUAACAAGGUACC
rnacentral:rRNA from 1 species